CCCUUGCUCAUUAAUGGCGGGCACUGCAUGGUUGGCGCCAUCUAUGUGCAUUAAUGCGUCCACCGACCUCCGGGCCGCCCAGCCCCAUUUAUCCGAGUCCGAGCCAAGCCGAUCGAGCGCUUGCUUCCAAUCCAGGCUCCGGGCACCACCCACCCCCACCUUGCCCGGCGCGCCUCGCCCUAAUGCCGGCUGCCGGACAGCUCCGCCCCCGGUAUCCUUGAGCUGGAGGUGGUGGUGGAUGACCAGCUCUCGGAAUUUUCUGAGCGGAAGAUCAGGGGGCGCUGUGUUAGGUCCGUGGUUGGUGAGCGGCGUUUGAAGCGAUUUCGAGCGUGGCGGGGUCGUUGUGUGAUGCAGGAAUUGGGCUCUGGGCGGAUUGCGAGAGAGAUGGUUGGAAGCGUGCACAUGAAUGGAUCGGUGCACGGUGCCAAUGGCACUGAGGAGCGGCUGGAUGAGCUGCGCCGGCUGCUCGGCAAGUCAGACGGAGACUUGCUCAAGAUCGUCAGCGUUGGUGCCGGGGCUUGGGGCAGUGUCUUUGCUGCUCUUUUGCAGGACGCCUAUGGCCAUUUUCGGGAGAAGGUGCAGAUAAGGAUUUGGCGGCGCCCGGGGAGGACGGUUGACCGGUCCACCGCGGAGCAUCUUUUUGAGGUGAUCAACUCGAGGGAAGAUGUUCUGAGGCGUCUCAUCCGCCGCUGCGCCUACUUGAAGUAUGUCGAGGCACGGCUUGGGGAUCGAAAAUUGUAUGCUGAUGAGAUAUUGAAGGAUGGAUUCUGUUUGAACAUGAUUGAAACACCGCUCUGCCCUCUGAAGGUGGUCACCAACCUGCAGGAAGCUGUUUGGGAUGCUGACAUUGUGGUCAAUGGGUUGCCAUCCACUGAGACAAGGGAGGUGUUUGAGGAGAUCAGCAAGUAUUGGAAGGAGAGGAUCAGUGUACCGGUAAUAAUUUCCCUGGCAAAGGGGAUAGAAGCCUCAUUGGAUCCAAUUCCUCAUAUCAUUACACCUACUCAAAUGAUUAGUUCGGCAACUGGAGUUCCAACUGAGAAUAUACUAUAUCUUGGAGGACCAAACAUCGCCUCAGAAAUUUAUAACAAAGAAUACGCAAAUGCUCGAAUCUGUGGAUCCAACAAGUGGAGGAAGCCUCUUGCUAAGUUUUUGAGGCAGCCACAUUUCACUGUCUGGGACAACAGUGAUCUUGUCACUCAUGAGGUGAUGGGUGGCUUGAAGAAUGUCUAUGCAAUUGGCGCUGGAAUGGUGGCAGCUUUAACAAAUGAGAGUGCAACAAGCAAAUCUGUAUAUUUUGCUCAUUGCACGUCAGAGAUGAUAUUCAUUACUCACUUGCUGACAGAACAACCAGAGAAACUUGCUGGUCCUCUGCUGGCUGAUACUUAUGUAACUCUCCUAAAAGGUCGCAAUGCAUGGUAUGGGCAAAUGCUUGCCAAGGGGGAGUUGAGUCCUGACAUGGGUGAUAGUAUCAAGGGAAAGGGAAUGAUUCAGGAGAUGUCAAAGCUUCCUGGAUGUUGGACAACCCUGACUUUUGCAAUUGUCCCUUUUUCCUUUUAACAUGGUGUGUUUCACAACAAUUGUUUUAUCAUUCCAUUUGACAGGGUAUCUCUGCUGUUGGUGCAUUUUUUGAGCUGCUUAGUCAACCCAGCUUAAGUGUACAACACCCGGAAGAAAACAAGCAGGUCGCUCCGGCUGAACUAUGCCCAAUCCUGAAGAGGCUUUACAGAAUACUGAUAAAAAGGGAGCUCCCAGCAAGAGACAUUCUCCAAGCCUUGAGGGAUGAAACGAUGAAUGAUCCUCGCGAAAGGAUUGAGAUGGCACAAAGCCAUGCAUUCUACCGCCCAUCUCUCCUUGGAAAACCAUGAUCUUCUUACUCUUGUAUAUUAGUAGAACAUAAACGAAGGCGGGAGGAGAUCAAUUCGCCAAGCUAUGGAUCAUUCUUGAUCGCGCUUGGUGGUCUCUCCGCGAUGCUGUUGGCAUGUCCGAGUUACAGGGCCUUUUUUUUCAGUUGUGGAAUUCUUUGUGCUUCUUCGUUGCUACAUCGUAGAAGAGAUUACUGAAUCAAUAAAUAUUAUUUGCAUGGCCAUGUUGUGGAUAACUGAAUCAUGUAUGCCAGAUUUGGAGGAAUUA